GCCGCGGAGGACGCGCUGCUCGGUCCCAGCAGAGCUCCGCGCGCAGCACGUUACGUAACCGCCCGGCCAGGCUGAGACGACAGCGGGACGGUCCCGACACCAGGGCGCUCACCCGCUCGCGACCUGCGCGACAAGCGGCUCCUGCACCUGCUACCGCUCGUCCCCAUCCGCAUCCCGGACAGAGCCGCACACGGCGCGCCGAGCAGCGCGCUGCUCCGCCGAGGAGCUCGCCUCGGCAGAAUGAGGAGGAACGGGGCGCAGGCCGCAGCCCCAGCAGCCCGCCAGGCCCCGCACCGUUCUCCACCGCCGCGGAGACGGGCGGCGUAGCCCCGCUCCUCGCACCGGUUCGGCCGGACCCGCGCCCGCCUCAGCCGUGCUCUCUGGCGCCAGAGGCAGAGGGGAGCUCAGCCCGCGGCCCCUCGGCCUGCACCGCUCGCCUCAUCCGCGCCGCACCGUGGCCGCCACCUCCCCAGCGUGUAGGCCCGGCGGGCCCCAGCGGAGCGGGCGGCCGUGUCCGGGCCUGGCGCAGAGCGGCGGCGGGGCCGGAACAGGCCGCGAGCCUGGAGCGCCUAGCGGGCCUUCCCCUUCUCCAGGCCACGGAGCUCGCCAGCCCACCUGUCUCUGAGUUCCCCGGCACCAGGCGCCCGAGCCGGGGCGGCCCCGCCAGCGCUACUCACCGAGGCCUGUGAGAGACGGGAACCGAGAGGCAAAGGCCGGACGGCGGCGAAGCCCGAAACUGACACGGCGGCCAUCUUGGAAAAUAAAAGAUUCUCGGGAAACGUUGUGGAGACAGAGUGGAUAAACCAAAUUUGAGAUGUUUUCUGAAUGGCUUGGUUUAGUAUCUUGAGGUGAGAAAUUUCUCUGCUGUGCAAGAGGAACUCUUCUGAUGUUUUAACAGAAUGGGUUUUUGGUAGGAGGGUAAAUGUGUUCAGCGAGUGACUUAUUACUCUGGGCCAAUGGAGUCUGAGGUGCUACUGCAUGAGGUUCUGUGCAAACAGUUCUGUUUCUGCCAUGUGGACCACAGAGGUCUGGCCCUGUCAGAGGUGGAUUCUCCCUACAAAUUAAGAUCUUCUCCCACCUCUUCCCGAGUCUUCAAAAUGCAAGUGGUUCUGUGCUGCAUGGCUUCCGACGCCUUAAACUGCAAGGCUGUGGCGCUACGUUCAGAAACGCUAAUGGAGAUACAAAUGUAAUUUCCAGAUAAGAAAGUAAGGCAAGACUAAGAGGAUUCAGUACUUAACAGCAAAACCCAAUUGUGUUCCUACAACACAGAGUAUCAGUCUGUAGACUCUCCUCUGUUUCAAAAUUGGCACCCUUGCAAAAUUGCUUUUGUUUACUACUAUAAAUUUUAAAAUGGCCUGUUUUCUUCUUCUCUCUGUUUUAUUUUCACAGCACGGGCUAGCAGUUAAAUUAUCAGAAUUCCUGCAUAUGGCGAACUACAGAUGGUAAGGAAUUCUUUUACCAUAAAGACUGCACAGUUUGGCAACAUCAUCUUUUAGCACUGCCCUUUGACUGUGCUUGGGUUCCUCUGGGGGUUCAGGUACUGUAUCUGCGAUACCCUUCAAUGAGCGGUUUGCAGGCUGCCAGUAAAUAACCAGCAACAUGAAAUUCUCUUCUGGCAGCAUCUCCUGCCACGUUCUGCUUUUGGUUCCAGUUCAUAUCAGCUCCCAAGCCAGUGUGCGGACGGACUUUCAGAACAAAACACGAUCUCGGAGGUAACCGUUUGGACACAGCCAGGCAGCAUUCGUGCAGCAGUGAGCGGUGCUGUCACUGCAGACUGCUCUCUGCAGGUGCCAGCAAGAUACUCCAAUAAACCUGUCUGAUUUGAAACCUGAAA